rnacentral:rRNA from 1 species
UUAGAGUGCUCAAAGCAGGCUACACUGACGGCCUGAAUGCCUAUGCAUGGAAUAAUGGAAUAGGACCUCGGUUCUAUUUUGUCGGUUUUCUGAACCCGAGGUAAUGACUAAUAGGAACAGGCGGGGGCAUUCGUAUUGCGACGCUAGAGGUGAAAUUCUUGGACCGUCGCAAGACGAACUACUGCGAAAGCAUUUGCCAAGGAUGUUUUCAUUAAUCAAGAACGAAAGUUAGAGGUUCGAAGGCGAUCAGAUACCGCCUAGUUCUAACCAUAAACGAUGCUGACCAGCGAUCCGCCGGUGUUAUUCCCAUGACCCGGCGGGCAGCUUCCGGGAACCAAAGUACUUGGUUCCGGGGGAAGGUAUGGUUGCAAAGACUGAAACUUAAAGGAAUUGACGGAAGGGCACCACCAGGAGUGGAGCCUGCGGCUUAAUUUGACUCAACACGGGGAACCUCACCAGGCCCAGACACCGGAAGGAUUGACAGAUUGAGAGCUCUUUCUCGAUUCGGUGGGUGGUGGUGCAUGGCCGUUCUUAGUUGGUGGAGCGAUUUGUCUGGUUAACUUCCGAAUAACGAACGAGACUCUGGCCUACUAACUAGUCGACGGAUCUCCAGCAAUUGGUGUCCAGUUCGUAGUC